ACGGGAGGCAGCAGUGGGGGAUAUUGCACAAUGGGGAAACUCUGAUGCAGCAACGCCGCGUGAGGGAAGAAGGGUUUCGGAUUGUAAACCUCUGUUUUUAGUGAAGAAACAAAUGACGGUAGCUAAAGAGGAAGCCACGGCUAACUACGUGCCAGCAGCCGCGGUAAUACGUAGGUGGCAAGCGUUGUCCGGAUUUACUGGGUGUAAAGGGUGCGCAGGCGGGACUGCAAGUUGGAUGUGAAAUACCUAGGCUUAACCUCGGGGCUGCAUCCGAAACUGUGGUUCUUGAGUGGAGUAGAGGUAAGCGGAAUUCCGAGUGUAGCGGUGAAAUGCGUAGAUAUUCGGAGGAACACCAGUGGCGAAGGCGGCUUACUGGGCUUUAACUGACGCUGAGGCACGAAAGCAUGGGUAGCAAACAGGAUUAGAUACCCUGGUA
rnacentral:rRNA from 1 species